rnacentral:rRNA from 1 species
UACGUAGGGUGCGAGCGUUAAUCGGAAUUACUGGGCGUAAAGCGUGCGCAGGCGGUUCGCCGUGUCCUGUGUGAAAUCCCCGGGCUCAACCUGGGAAUGGCAUGGGAAACUGGCGGGCUGGAGUGUGGCAGAGGGGGGUGGAAUUCCGCGUGUAGCAGUGAAAUGCGUAGAGAUGCGGAGGAACACCGAUGGCGAAGGCAGCCCCCUGGGCCAACACUGACGCUCAGGCACGAAAGCGUGGGGAGCAAACAGG